rnacentral:rRNA from 1 species
AUGAACGUUGGCGGCACGCCUAAUACAUGCAAGUCGAACGAGAAAGCACCUCGGUGCGAGUACAGUGGCGGACGGGUGAGUAACGCGUAGGAAUCUACCUAGUAGUGGGGGACAACUCGAGGAAACUCGAGCUAAUACCGCAUACGCUCUAAGGAGGAAAGUGGGGGAUCUUCGGACCUCACGCUAUUAGAGGAGCCUGCGUUAGAUUAGCUAGUUGGUGAGGUAAAGGCUCACCAAGGCUACGAUCUAUAGCUGGUCUGAGAGGACGAUCAGCCACACUGGAACUGAGACACGGUCCAGACUCCUACGGGAGGCAGCAGUAGGGAAUCUUGGGCAAUGGGCGAAAGCCUGACCCAGCGAUGCCGCGUGUGCGAAGAAGGCCUUAGGGUUGUAAAGCACUUUCAGUUGCGAAGAAAAGCUGCGGUUUAAUACGCCGCGGUCUUGACGUUAACAACAGAAGAAGUACCGGCUAACUCCGUGCCAGCAGCCGCGGUAAUACGGAGGGUACGAACGUUAAUCG